UACGUAGGCAGCGAGCGUUGUUCGGAGUUACUGGGCGUAAAGGGUGUGUAGGCGGUUGUUUAAGUUUGGUGUGAAAUCUCCCGGCUCAACUGGGAGGGUGCGCCGAAUACUGAAUGACUUGGAGUGCGGGAGAGGAAAGUGGAAUUCCUGGUGUAGCGGUGAAAUGCGUAGAUAUCGGGAGGAACACCAGUGGCGAAGGCGACUACCUGGCCUGUUCUUGACGCUGAGGCGCGAAAGCUAGGGGAGCAAACGGG
rnacentral:rRNA from 1 species